GGCAGUUGUGCGUAGUGGUUUGGGUGUUGGACUGACUCUGGAGACCAGGGUUCAAAUCCCUGCAUGGCCA